AUUUUAGCUUUGCCAUCCGCGGACGGCUUGAGUGUUAACCAGCUCGGUGGACCGUUUGCCUUUCUGCGAGGGCAGCGGGUUCCUCUAGAAUAAAGAAUGAAGAAAAUUGAAAUGAUCUCUGAAACUCGAGAAUAGUUAUGUAAAAGAGAAAAAACAAAGUCUAUCGUUCAAAGGCUACUGAACCAGGAAACAGGCAGCCCGCGUUAAAAUCCCAGCUCUGGGAUCAACUGGUUAGAUUAUUUUCAUUCAGGCAUCUUUUCUUUCUGCACUACUUCAUCUACCAGUUGCUAACAUUGAAUGAACCUUUACAGUGUUCCAGGUACUGUUUUAAGGGAUUUUCUAUACUCAUAUAACAUUUUUGAAAGAAAAAGUGAAAUAUAGGGCUACAUGUUCAGCCUCAACGUGAACGUGAUGAGGAUGAAGACCUUUAUGAUAAUCCACUUUCACUUAGUGAAUCGGGAUUGGACUGCUGCAUUCUAAAAAUAAUGGUGAGAAGAAUGAAUAAAUUAGAGUUUACUAUGUAAUAAAACCUUCUAAAAAAGAGGAGAGGUAGCAGAAUUUACAAGAAGGUUAAACCUGACCUUACUGAAGAGAAUGAUACCCUCAUAGCAGCGCAUCUUCUUUGCUCACAGAAAGGUCCUUGGACAAAUGUGUUUUGAGUUUCAAGUGAGCAAACCUUCAAUGUGUCUGCCAUUUUGGGGAAGAAGUUGUAACUUGGAGUGAAGGUAGAGGGAUUUAUUAUGAGAGCUUUGCUAGCAGACAUCUCAUUCUUUAAGACAAAAUCAACGCACAAACAUAAUUGGUCAAAGGAAGAAAGCUACAAAACCAAUUCAAUAACAUCUGAAGCCUGAGAGGAAAAUGAAAGACAAGAGGCUGUGGCUGCAGCUGUGUCUGCUGACAACAGGAUAAAAAUGGUUGCAUUGAGAGUGAGCUGCAUUUUCACCAGGCAGAGCAAACUGGGAGCUAAUGUGUUUCUUGGAAAUCAAAAGAGGACUCCAAGAAUAGAAGCUUUUAAGAGGACUGGCUGGAGAGUCAAAGAAGAUCCAUUAGCUUCUGGACCACUGAAAACCUAAGGGCUGAUGGUGGGGCAGGGUAAGUGGCCGGCAGCAGGGAGACAUUUUCUGUAUCUAGGAUGGUAUAGAAAAGACCCCCACUGGACAGAUCUACAAAGAACAACUAAAGAGUCUCAUGGUAGAACAGGUCAGCUCUGGACAUCAUUCAAAUCCAGGGGAGCCUCUUAUACUGGAUUGCAAUUGUGUUGGGCAUGUACAAUGGUGUUCUUUUUCUCUAAUGGCUUCUUUCUUCUGGUCAGUCUCUGGAAGGGGUGAAAGAGUGAGAAAUAGUAGCCAGCAAGUGUAGAAAGAGAUGUGGAAGAGAGAACGGGGAAACAGAAAUUGCAUUUCUCCCACGUUCCAAAUGUAGGUUAUCCGGGUUAAAUGUAGGCCCCACCUGACUAGGCAAAGAUUUUUUCCUUUGUUGUGAGUUUGAAAAGAACUAAACAUCAUACUGAAGUGGAAUUAUUGAAAUUGGAUAGACCCAGGUUCAAAUGUUGACUCAGUUAUGUAACAUCUUGUGAAUUUUGACAGGUUCCUUAACUCCACUGAGUCUGUUUUUAUACCCAUGAAAUGGAUGUAGGAUUGUUAUGAACAUUAAUUGAAAAAUUAUAUAUAAAAUAAGUGUCCAGCAUAGUUCCUGGCACAUACUAGUGCUUGAAAACUACCAAUCAACUUCAUCAAUUUGUGUUAUGCCCUGCAUGGGCACAUAUUUGUCCUGAUACUCUUCAAAAUGUAGAAGUACCCACAGAAAAAUUGUCUCAGUUCAAGCACAGUAUUAUUAAUAUUCUACUGAGUACUAAGUAUGGUCGUUAAUAGUCUAAUAUGAGGAAGUCAAAACAGUCUCUGGAAAAAGUCUUUCUGCAAGCUUUUUGAAGCUUCAGGGAUUGCUACAAAGACUGGAAAAUCGAUCUUGAACUCAGCCUUUUAAUUUCUUUUCAUGAUUACUGUUCUCAAAUGGAGAAUGCAAUUAAAAUUAAUGCUGUCUUAGUUCACUUGCCUCAAAAUAAACAUUGAUCAAAUUCUAUGUGAAG
rnacentral:lncRNA from 10 species